CCUCAUUUCAUUAUAAGGGCAAACAGGGGACACAGGCAUGGCUCACUUGAACAUCCACUGGCUACAAUGAUUGGCUUAGGGGAGGUCAUGCGACUCAACUUUAAGCCAAUGAGACUCAACCCUGGGGCUUGUGUUGAAACUAUAGCUGAAGGACCAGCUUGUCAGUCUUGGCAGCCAUUUUUGCUAUCUUGAUGGGAGAAUCUGCAUGAGAAUAAAGCUGUUCCAGAAGCGUACAUGAGAGAUGGAGAGGUUGAGAAAUCUGCCCCUGAAUAAUUCAGUUAAGGGUCCAGCUGAAGGUCUGGCUGAAAGAAUUGGCCUGCAAAACAUCUGCUUAAUAUUUUCCAAAGUUGAAUCCCUGCAAACUCUACAACCCAACGCCUGGUGUUACAGUGGAGGGUCUUUACAAGUCAUCCAAAUUCUUGCUGUUUUGAACAAGAAGUUGGAGAACACACAAAAGAAGCAAUUAAAGAAUGAAGCAAUGAAAGCACAGAUUUAUGUAACAAAAGUACACUCCACAGAGUGGGAGGUGGCUCGAGCAAGCAGUUCAAGAGCGCUGGUUACAGAAUUUUCUGCGGUUUAAAUAACCUCCAGAGGUUUCCAUUGGUUACUUGGUUACACCCUAUGUAAAUUGUAAGACUUGGCCUGCAACAAGUCUGAUAGGUUGCAGCAGGCAACCAAUCAGAGGGGGAAGUGAAGUUAAUUUACACAUGAAGACUUGGCCCCAGCCGCUGGAGGGGACCAAUCACAGGUACUUUCCAUUUUUAAUCUGCAAGGCAGUGCAAAGGGGAGUAGCCCCCAAUUCUUUUGUUACUUGAGUGUAGAGAGGUGGGAUUUUCCUCUGGAUUCAGUUCUAGGAAGUUAGCACAAAUCAACCUCAGGUUCCCUGUCUCCAGACUCUGUUCUG
rnacentral:lncRNA from 13 species